rnacentral:rRNA from 1 species
AUCUAGGCUCUUGCAUCGAUGAAGAACGUAGCGAAAUGCGAUACUUGGUGUGAAUUGCAGAAUCCCGUGAACCAUCGAGUCUUUGAACGCAAGUUGCGCCCGAUGCCAUUAGGUUGAGGGCACGUCUGCGUGGGUGUCACAUAUCGAAGCCUCCUGCCAAUUUC